rnacentral:rRNA from 1 species
GUGCCAGCAGCCGCGGUAAUACGUAGGUGGCAAGCGUUGUCCGGAAUUAUUGGGCGUAAAGCGCGCGCAGGCGGUUAUGUAAGUCUGAUGUUAAAGCCCGGGGCUCAACCUCGGUCCGCAUUGGAAACUGCGUAACUUGAGUGCAGAAGAGGAAAGUGGUAUUCCACGUGUAGCGGUGAAAUGCGUAGAGAUGUGGAGGAACACCAGUGGCGAAGGCGACUUUCUGGUCUGUAACUGACGCUGAGGCGCGAAAGCGUGGGGAGCAAACAGGAUUAGAUACCCGGGUAGUCCA